rnacentral:RNase_P_RNA from 1 species
CCAGACGGUUGGAUGACCGCUGUUCGCGAAGCUAUAUGCUAAUCGCGGAGGGAGGAAAGUCCGGGCUCCAUGGAGAUACGGUGCCGGGUAACACCCGGCGGGGGCAACCCCAGGGAAAGUGCCACAGAGAGUAUACCGCCUCGCUUGCCGGUUUCGGCCGGGUCCGCGGGGUAAGGGUGAAAGGGUGCGGUAAGAGCGCACCGCGCGUUUGGUAACAAACGUGGCAAGGUAAACCCCACCGGGAGCAAAACCGAAUAGGGACGGCAGACACUUCGGGUGUCAGGCGUAUUUCCACGCCGCAGUCCGGGUAGGUUGCGUGAGGCGUUCGGCAACGGGCGUCCCAGAUGAAUGGUCAUUACCUGUUUCGGCAGGCACAGAACCCGG